GACGAACGCUGGCGGCGUGCUUAACACAUGCAAGUCGAACGGAAAGGCCCCUUUGGGGGUCCUCGAGUGGCGCACGGGGGAGUAACCCGUGAGUAACCUGCCCUUGACUUCGGGAUAACUUCAGGAAACUGGGGCUAAUACCGGAUAGGAAUCCUUUCUCCAUGGUGGGGGUUGGAAAGCUUCGGGGGUUUUGGAUGGACUUGCGGCUUAUCAGCUUGUUGGUGGGGUAGUGGCUUACCAAGGCUUUGACGGGUAGCCGGCCCGGGGGGGCGACCGGCAACAUUGGGACUGGGAUUCGGCCCAGACUCCGACGGGAGGGAGCAGUGGGGAAGAUUGCACAAUGGGCGGAAGCCUGAUGCAGAAACGCCGCGGGCGGGAUGACGGCCUUCGGGUUGGAAACCGAUUUCAGCAGGGGCGAAGCUUGUGGUGACGGUACCUGCAGAAGAAGCACCGGCUAACUACGUG
rnacentral:rRNA from 1 species